AAUCUUCCACAAUGGACGAAAGUCUGAUGGAGCAACGCCGCGUGAGCGAAGAAGGUUNNNGGAUCNUCAAGCUCUGUUGCGAGNGACNAACAAGUACGGGAGUAACUGCCCGUACCUGGACGGCACCUCGUCAGAAAGCUACGGCUAACUACGUGCAAGCAGCCGCGGUAAUACGUAGGUGGCAAGCGUUGUCAGGACUUAUUGGGCGUAAAGCGCGCGCAGGCGGUCCUUUAAGUCUGAUUUGAAAGCCCACGGCUCAACCGUGGAGGGUCAUUUGAAACUGGAGGACUUGAGUACAGAAGAGGAAAGCGGAAUUCCACGUGUAGCGGUGAAAUGCGUAGAGAUGUGGAGGAACACCAGUGGCGAAGGCGGCUUUCUGGUCUGUAACUGACGCUGAGGCGCGAAAGCGUGGGGAGCAAACA
rnacentral:rRNA from 1 species